CAUGCUCUUUGUUCUAAUUACUAAUAAAAACCCAGCUCAAGAGAGCUCGGGACGCCUGCUUGACAAACCUCUUGACUCCGCGUCUCCUUGAUCCCAACAUCUGGUGACCCCGACGUGAUACACUGGAUCCCGAGGACCCCUGCUCAUCCGACUGGAAUAGUCUAGGUGCACCCGCUGGAAACAGCCACUCGUGGCGGCGUUGGUACACCGAAUAUCCCUGCACAAACCUCAACGGCACAACGGCAUUAUCAGACGACCGAAGUUCUUCCUGCUCCAAAGGUAACCUAUCGUCAGCUACCUGGCCCGGAGUGGAGCGAACCUGUGCCACUAAAUCACCUGGGGGCGCGGUUACGCAGCUGUAUCAACACCAAGCGGCCCGCUCUGGGUACCUGCACGAUACGUUCGACCAUACAAGGAUGGCUGCCAGACCUAUCCUGGCUAAAGCAAAUGUUUGCAUAUGUUGUUAUUAUUAUAGCUGCAGGAUUAAUAGUUUGUUGCUGCAUAUUACAGUGUAUUCCUUCACUUAUUAGCCUGUUUGUCCAUGGCUGCCCUUGGCAACGACUUAAUACAAAACAGCGCAUUCAUUAUGCCUGCAAAUUGCUUAAAAACAAAAAGGGGGAGAUGUAGUGAAACAUGCUGUGCUGGCAAACCACACACGUGUUUAUUACAUUUACUCCUGGCUUAAGGUAAAGCAAUGCUCAGGUUAU